rnacentral:rRNA from 1 species
CCUACGGGCGGCAGCAGUGAGGAAUAUUGGUCAAUGGCCGGAAGUCUGAACCAGCCAAGCCGCGUGAAGGACGAAGGUGCCAAGCAUUGUAAACUUCUUUUGUCAGGGGACAAAAUCAGGCUCGAGAGCCUGACCGAGGGUACUUGAAGAAAAAGCAUCGGCUAACUCCGUGCCAGCAGCCGCGGUAAUACGGAGGAUUCGAGCGUUAUCCGGAUUUAUUGGGUUUAAAGGGUGCGUAGGCGGACGGUUAAGUCAGCGGUAAAAGCCCGGGGCUCAACCCCGGCGUGCCGUUGAAACUGGCUGUCUUGAGAUGUGGAGCGGUAUGCGGAAUGCGCAGUGUAGCGGUGAAAUGCUUAGAUAUCGCGCAGAACUCCGAUUGCGAAGGCAGCAUACCGGCGGCGAUCUGACGCUGAGGCACGAAAGCGUGGGUAUCGAACAGGAUUAGAUACCCUUGUAGUC